rnacentral:rRNA from 1 species
AGGGGUUUGAUCCUGGCUCAGAGCGAACGCUGGCGGCGUGCCUAACACAUGCAAGUCGAGCGAGAAAAUCCCGGCAACGGGAUGAGUAAAGCGGCGAACGGGUGAGUAACGCGUGGGUUAUCUACCCUCUAGUCUGGGAUAACCUUCCGAAAGGGGGGCUAAUACCGGAUGAUGUCUUCUUGGGGCAUCCCAAGAAGAGCAAAGGGGGCGCCCGCAAGGGGCUCUCGCUGGAGGAGGAACCUGCGUCCGAUUAGCUAGUUGGUGAGGUAACGGCUCACCAAGGCGACGAUCGGUAGCCGGCCUGAGAGGGUGACCGGCCACACUGGGACUGGGAUACGGCCCAGACUCCUACGGGAGGCAGCAGUGGGGAAUCUUGCGCAAUGGGCGAAAGCCUGACGCAGCGACGCCGCGUGGGGGACGAAGGCCUUCGGGUUGUAAACCCCUGUCAGGCGGAACGAAUCCCCUGAGGACGAACAAUCCUUGGGGUUGACGGUACCGCCAGAGGAAGCCCCGGCUAACUACGUGCCAGCAGCCGCGGUAAUACGUAGGGGGCAAGCGUUGCUCGGAUUUACUGGGCGUAAAGAGCGCGUAGGCGGCCAGGUAAGUCCGGUGUGAAAUUCCUCGGCUCAACCGAGGGCCCGCAUCGGAAACUGCUUGGCUUGAGUCCAGGAGAGGAGGGUGGAAUUCCCGGUGUAGCGG